rnacentral:rRNA from 1 species
UACAGAGGUCUCAAGCGUUGUUCGGAAUCAUUGGGCGUAAAGGGUGCGUAGGCGGCGCGGUAAGUCGGGUGUGAAAUCUCGGAGCUUAACUCCGAAACUGCAUUCGAUACUGCAGUGCUUGAGGACUGGAGAGGAGACUGGAAUUUACGGUGUAGCGGUGAAAUGCGUAGAUAUCGUAAGGAAGACCAGUGGCGAAGGCGGGUCUCUGGACAGUUCCUGACGCUGAGGCACGAAGGCCAGGGGAGCAAACGGG